rnacentral:rRNA from 1 species
CGCUGACGAGUGCGGACGGGUGAGUAAACGCGUUAGGAAUCUGCCUCAUAGUGGGGGACAACGUGGGGAAACUCACGCUAAUACCGCAUACGCCUACGGGGGAAAGCGGGGGAUCUUCGGACCUCGCGCUAUGAGAUGAGCCUGCGUUAGAUUAGCUAGUUGGUAGGGUAAAGGCCUACCAAGGCGACGAUCUAUAGCUGGUCUGAGAGGACGAUCAGCCACACUGGGACUGAGACACGGCCCAGACUCCUACGGGAGGCAGCAGUGGGGAAUAUUGGACAAUGGGCGCAAGCCUGAUCCAGCAAUACCCGCGUGUGUGAAGAAGGGCCUUAGGGUUGUAAAGCACUUUCAAUUGGGAGGAAAACCUGCCGGUCAAUACCCGGUAGCUUGACAUUACCUUUAGAAGAAGCACCGGCUAACUCCGUG